UCAUGAACAAUGCUAGCUAUUUUUAAGUCUGAACUAGGUGUUGCUGGUGUCAUUGCCCUCUUUUAUGCAUAAUCUUUUCCAAACUCUCGAGAUGAAAUCUAGCAAUAUUGUGUCACCUUUAUGUGAAGCUGGCAAGUUGUUAACCUUGAAUGUGCUGUCCUAGCCUAUGUCAUUUUGACAAGUGCUUACUCAGCUUCUGUAAUUUUUUUUUAAAAAAAUAUAUAUAUAUACAUAUAUAAAGCUCCCUUUUCUGCUCUUCUACAUUUGAGGACCUUCUCUCUUGUUUUAUAUAUUAAGUACAAGCAUGCAUGUGCUAGCAUGUGUAUGUCAUGUUCAACAUUCGGCACUCAGUGGUCCAGUAACUGAUUUGGCAGGUGCAUACUAUUUUAGAUGAAAUUGUGUUGGGUGGUCAAGUUCUUGAGACAAGUUCUUCAGAAGUUAUGAAGGCUGUUGAAGAAAUCUCAAAGUUGGAAAAGGCCUCAAAUACAAUUCUGGUUGUCCCAAAAUCUAUUCCUGGCUGGCAUGCUCGAUAGCACAUGACUUCUCUAGCAGGUGGAGGAUGAUAGAAGGAGAGAAAGCAAGCAUGCUGAAGGAGAACAAAAAGGAGCAACACAACUUAGAUUCAACCAUAGAAAAUCCAGUGUAAAGCUUUAACUUCACUUGGUCUUUGGUUUUUGGGUACCUAAAAUCUUGAAGAAUAGACACUGCUUACAAAUUUCGGAAACUAUUGAAAAGAGUUGUGUUGACCUUUUUCUGUGGUAUCACCUGACUUUGCUCUCCUCCAGCCCCAUGUGCCGGUGCUCUUAAUUGUGAUUGAUAUAUUGAACUUUGUACUGAUAAAUUUCAAAAAUUCUUGAAUAGUGUCAUAAAUGUGACUCGAGUGAUAUGGCUGUCUUUGUUGUGUGGGUUAUUUUAAGCAUAUUGUUUAUCAGACUUUCAAAUUGUUGCAAGGCUGAAGCCCUUCUACUGGGCGGGACUCAACAAAAAGUUGGAAAGCAGUCCGUCUUUCGGAA